AUUGGCACCGUCAGCCAUGAGAGCCGCGUGGAUCAGCUGGAACUUAAUGAGACUGGACACAAGCUCCUCUUCAGGGACCGGAAACUUCGUUUGCAUCUGUAUGAUAUUGAGAGCUGCUCUAAGACAAUGAUCCUCAACUUCUGCGCCUAUGUGCAGUGGGUCCCAGGAAGUGAUGUGCUGGUAGCUCAGAACCGCAACAGCCUGUGUGUGUGGUACAACACUGAGGCACCUGAGAGAGUCACCAUGUUCACUAUUAGGGUAUGUUGGACACUAGGGGCCCUCAGAUGUGGUGUUGAGCUGAUUAAUUACAGCCACGAGGAGACU